GGCUGUGGGGUUCUGGACAAGGAGCCUCUCAUCAAGUCCCUAGAGAGCUUGGAGGCAAUAAGUCUCCAGGGGCAGACCUCUCAGCUGGCUCCAAAAAUGUCUCUCUCUGAUUCUGGGGACUGUGGCCGCGAUAUUUCAAACAGCUCCUGAGGCGACUGGGAGGAUCUUCUGGAGGUUAAUAUCCUGAGUAUCUCAGAGAGCUGCUUCUCAAUAUUGGUCAUUUUGGCGUUCAGGGCCUUGAUGUCCUCCUUCAGCUCAUGCUUCACCUCCAGGACCGUGGCCUGCAGUGUCUGCUCAGGGAUGGGGUAGAAGGAAUGCUUGACCUCCGCCAGGAUGGGACUCCGAUCCUGGGGGCUCCUGGCCUCACCCACGUUGUCCAGGCGCAAGUCGCUCUUGGUGAUGCCACUGUCACACGAGUCUGUCUUCUUCAGCGUGGCCUCACCCGACGCUUUUGUCCUCUCGGGAAGCGUCUCCAUCGACUCAGCCUUGGACACCUUGUUCCAGUCCUCGCCCUUCCCGCAAGCAUCUUUGAAGCGGGCCCAGCCUUUGCGUUUGGCACAGUCGCCCCCACCUCCCUUGGGGCCCAGGCACUCGGACCCCGGUGCAUGCAGCUUUGCGUGGUCUGGCACCCCGGAGGUGGAGGCUGCCUGGAAGGACACGGGCGUGGCAGGACUCUCACGCACGGUGACCACGCUGGCCUUCACAAGGCUGUGGUUGGCGGAGGCAUGCUCUGUGAGGACAUUGCCCUUCUCCACAUCCAGGUCAUCCAGGUCCCGGCCCCCUCUCUCAGCCGCCAGCCUGGCCUCUUUCUGCUGUCGGAACCUCUGGAAGAGGCGCCGGACAGGGUGGUCUGGGGGCAGGAUCAGGGGGGCCUCAUUCUUCCGUUUCAUGCGCUCUUCCUCUUCACGCUUCACAUCGCUGAUCUUCCGGAACACAAUCUGCAGAGAGAGAGAGAAUGACAUGCCAUGUUAGCCACCUGCUAGCUGCGGCCCAACUCAGCCCUUUUGCCUAUCAUGGCCCUCUCCUUCCAGCCUACCUGCCACCAAGAGGCUGGGGCGCACAGCCUGCAAGUCCUCAUGAGGCUUUUCUCAUGACUGACAUCACCCUCCUUUUCUUGACAGUGGCUUCCAGCUUUCCAACAGCCGGGAAUUGACUCCCCUGAUACUCCCUUCAAGAGGAAAAAAAUCCUAUAAUUUUCCCUCCUCACAUGCCAGGAGGCUGAAGAAUCCAAAUAUUCUCUUCCCAGGAGACUGUCCCCAGCCUCUGCGCCUGGACUCCCUUCAAUCUGUCCUUGUGUGCAAUUCAGAAUCUUCUCAUGAGCCCUUAAAAUAUCAUUUCUCUGGCUCCACUUCAGACGAAGUCCAUUAGUAUCUCUGCACAAAAGUUUGAGCACGUCUGGUCUAAACCACACUUCAGGGCAAGAAAGUUUAGCUGAGUCCCCAGGCAAGGCUAUAGCUAAGACUUCCAAUGCCACCCACAGAUCUGGACCCUAAGUGAAUGUGGCUGGCUGUGAAAGGCCUCCCGUUGAAGAUGAUGCGAAAUUCACCCUAACUCCUCCAAGAGGCCCUGCCCUGCAUUCUCACCAGUAGAUUCUCAGGCCCUCCCAGACUGGUAGGCAUGGGCAGUAGGUGGAUUGGACAUACCUUCUUUUGACAGACAAACUUUGGGCCUGAAAGACUCCCACAGACUCUCCUGUUCUUCUGUCUUCAGGAAGGUUCAAACUCAAGAC